GACGAACGCUGGCGGCGUGCCUAAUACAUGCAAGUCGAACGAGAGCGCCCGGUGCUUGCACUGGUCAAUCUAGUGGCGAACGGGUGAGUAACACGUGGGUAACCUGCCCAUCAGAGGGGGAUAACAUCCGGAAACGGAUGCUAAAACCGCAUAGGUCUUCGAACCGCAUGGUUUGAAGAGGAAAAGAGGCGCACGCUUCUGCUGAUGGAUGGACCCGCGGUGCAUUAGCUAGUUGGUGAGGUAACGGCUCACCAAGGCCGUGAUGCAUAGCCGACCUGAGAGGGUGAUCGGCCACAUUGGGACUGAGACACGGCCCAAACUCCUACGGGAGGCAGCAGUAGGGAAUCUUCCGCAAUGGACGCAAGUCUGACGGAGCAACGCCGCGUGAGUGAAGAAGGUUUUCGGAUCGUAAAACUCUGUUGUUAGAGAAGAACAAGUGCUAGAGUAACUGUUAGCGCCUUGACGGUAUCUAAACAGAAAGCCACGGCUAACUACGUG
rnacentral:rRNA from 1 species